GAUGAAGAACGCAGCGAAAUGCGAUACGUAAUGUGAAUUGCAAAUUCAGUGAAUCAUCGAGUCUUUGAACGCACAUUGCGCCCCCUGGUAUUCCGGGGGGCAUGCCUGUCCGAGCGUCAUUGCUGCCCUCAAGCACGGCUUGUGUGUUGGGCCCCGUCCUCCGAUCCCGGGGGACGGGCCCGAAAGGCAGCGGCGGCACCGCGUCCGGUCCUCGAGCGUAUGGGGCUUUGUCACCCGCUCUGUAGGCCCGGCCGGCGCUUGCUGAUCAACCCAAAUUUUUUAUCCAGGUUGACCUCGGAUCAGGUAGGGAUACCCGCUGAACUUAAGCAUAUCAAUAAGCGGAGGA
rnacentral:misc_RNA from 1 species